CCCACCACCAGCCCUCAGAACUGAUACAGUAAUUGUGCAUUUUGUACACGUUACACUCUCCACCCAAACCUCUCCAGUCGCUUUGAUUCCUGUUUAAUGCCUUACCUUGCCUUUGGGGCUUCUUUUACAAAGACACCUGAGAGAGACAGACCUGUGAAUCACUGCUGAGGCUAUGCAGCCUGAUGCCUGGAGGCCUCACAGAGUCGCUAAGGUCGGAACAGACCACUGCGGCCAUCUAGGCCGACUGUCAGCCCAUCCCCACCAAACCACGUGCCUGACUGCCACACUCCCACGUUUCUCUAAAGCACAUCGCGCACGGACCCAAAAGCUCUGCCCUCCAGAAUCGCCGUUCUGCCCCUACGGCCAAAUUCAGCGCUGUGCUGAGGCCUCAAACCCAGAUAUCGUGUGCUACCUCCCAAAAGCCGGGGCACCAACACCCGGAGCCACAGGUCCCCAGCUCAGCCACCUUAAGCACCGCGCUGCACGGAGCAGGGAGACCAAGUUAGCAACACAUCACGGCCCAGGGUAAUCCCCGAGGCAGCACCGAUACCAGUCGGUUUCCACACCGAAACACCACGAAAGGUACUUUUACUAAAAUAGGUUCCAUAGCGAAAAAAGCCGACGAUAAAACCAUUUUUUGGGGCUUCGGCUGAGUGUGGCAUGAGCACGUGUUUAGCUACACGGGUCACACAACAAGCACCAAGAAACGCAACCCUAAGCAGCAGCACGAUUUAGGAGAACCGUUCGCCCAGCAGCCGCUCAGGGACACGGAGCGCAGCAGAAAGGGGCGCCCGCAGGCAGUCGGCAACCUCCGACAGAGCUCCGGGACCGGUCGAGCAGCGACGGGAAAGGCUUCCGAGCGCUCGCAGCCACUCUGCGCGGCGCGGCACAACAGGAAGGAUGCAAAGCCACUGACACGUGGGGACAUGGAAAUGAAGGAGGCAUUAUUUUCAGUUCUCCGAGCUGUAAAAUGUCAUAAGCAGAACCAAAAGAGAAAUGGCCUUCUAUCAUCUAGGAAGAAUUUGUGCUGAAAUCAUGUAAUGAGAUAUCUCUCUUGAUGUACAGCUUUCAUUCAGUGGAAGAGUCAACAGCCAUGUUAAAGGC
ensembl:lncRNA